AAAUUGAAGAGUUUGAUCAUGGCUCAGAUUGAACGCUGGCGGCAGGCCUAACACAUGCAAGUCGAACGGUAACACAGAGAGCUUGCUCUCGGGUGACGAGUGGCGGACGGGUGAGUAAUGUCUGGGAAACUGCCUGAUGGAGGGGGAUAACUACUGGAAACGGUGGCUAAUACCGCAUAACGUCGCAAGACCAAAGAGGGGGACCUUCGGGCCUCUUGCCAUCAGAUGUGCCCAGAUGGGAUUAGCUAGUUGGUGAGGUAACGGCUCACCAAGGCGACGAUCCCUAGCUGGUCUGAGAGGAUGACCAGCCACACUGGAACUGAGACACGGUCCAGACUCCUACGGGAGGCAGCAGUGGGGAAUAUUGCACAAUGGGCGCAAGCCUGAUGCAGCCAUGCCGCGUGUAUGAAGAAGGCCUUCGGGUUGUAAAGUACUUUCAGCGGGGAGGAAGGUGUUGUGGUUAAUAACC
rnacentral:rRNA from 1 species